UACGAAGGGGGCUAGCGUUGUUCGGAGUUACUGGGCGUAAAGGGCGCGUAGGCGGCGCACCAAGUCAGGCGUGAAAGCCCUGGGCUCAACCCGGGAAUUGCGCUUGAGACUGGUGUGCUUGAGUACGGGAGAGGAUAGUGGAAUUCCGAGUGUAGAGGUGAAAUUCGUAGAUAUUGGGAAGAACACCGGUGGCGAAGGCGGCUAUCUGGACCGUAACUGACGCUGAGGCGCGAAAGCGUGGGGAGCAAACAGG
rnacentral:rRNA from 1 species